GAUGAACGCUGGCGGCGUGCCUAAUACAUGCAAGUCGAGCGAACGGACGAGAAGCUUGCUUCUCUGAUGUUAUCGGCGGACGGGUGAGUAACACGUGGAUAACCUACCUAUAAGACUGGGAUAACUUCGGGAAACCGGAGCUAAUACCGGAUAAUAUUUUGAACCGCAUGGUUCAAAAGUGAAAGACGGUCUUGCUGUCACUUAUAGAUGGAUCCGCGCUGCAUUAGCUAGUUGGUAAGGUAACGGCUUACCAAGGCAACGAUGCAUAGCCGACCUGAGAGGGUGAUCGGCCACAUUGGAACUGAGACACGGUCGAGACUCCUACGGGAGGCAGCAGUAGGGAAUCUUCCGCAAUGGGCGAAAGCCUGACAGAGCAACGCCGCGUGAGUGCUGAAGGUCUUCGGAUCGUAAAACUCUGUUAUUAGGGAAGAACAUAUGUGUAAGUACCUGUGCACAUCUUGACGGUACCUAAUCAGAAAGCCACGGCUAACUACGUG
rnacentral:rRNA from 1 species